GCAUGCUAGUCGUACGAGUUCAUACUCGUGGCGAAUAGCUCAGUAACACGUGGCCAAACUACCCUUCGGAGCUCCAUACCCUCGGGAAACUGAGGCUAAUAGAGCAUACCACAAUCCAGCUGGAAUGAGGAUUGUGCCAAACGCUCCGGCGCCGAAGGAUGUGGCUGCGGCCGAUUAGGUAGACGGUGGGGUAACGGCCCACCGUGCCAAUAAUCGGUACGGGUCAUGAGAGUGAGAACCCGGAGACGGAAUCUGAGACAAGAUUCCGGGCCCUACGGGGCGCAGCAGGCGCGAAACCUUUACACUGCACGCCAGUGCGAUAAGGGGAUCCCAAGUGCGCAGGCAUAGAGCCUGCGCUUUUGUACACCGUAGGGAGGUGUACGAAUAAGGGCUGGGCAAGACCGGUGCCAGCCGCCGCGGUAAUACCGGCAGCCCGAGUGAUGGCCGAUCUUAUUGGGCCUAAAGCGUCCGUAGCUGGCCGCACAAGUCCAUCGGAAAAUCCACCCGCCCAACGGGUGGGCGUCCGGUGGAAACUGUGUGGCUUGGGACCGGAAGGCGCGACGGGUACGUCCGGGGUAGGAGUGAAAUCCCGUAAUCCUGGACGGACCGCCGAUGGCGAAAGCACGUCGCGAGGACGGAUCCGACAGUGAGGGACGAAAGCCAGGGUCUCGAACCGGAUUAGAUACCCGGGUAGUCCUGGCCGUAAACAAUGUCUGUUAGGUGUGGCUCCCACUACGAGUGGGUGCUGUGCCGUAGGGAAGCCGCUAAACAGACCGCCUGGGAAGUACGUCCGCAAGGAUGAAACUUAAAGGAAUUGGCGGGGGAGCACUACAACCGGAGGAGCCUGCGGUUUAAUUGGACUCAACGCCGGACAUCUCACCAGCAUCGACUGUAGUAAUGACGAUCAGGUUGAUGACCUUAUCCGAGCUUCAAAGAGGAGGUGCAUGGCCGCCGUC
rnacentral:rRNA from 1 species